CCUACGGGUGGCAGCAGUGGGGAAUAUUGCACAAUGGGGGAAACCCUGAUGCAGCAACGCCGCGUGAGUGAAGAAGUAUUUCGGUAUGUAAAGCUCUAUCAGCAGGGAAGAAGAUGACGGUACCUGAUUAAGAAGCGCCGGCUAACUACGUGCCAGCAGCCGCGGUAAUACGUAGGGGGCAAGCGUUAGCCGGAUUUACUGGGGGGAAAGGGGGCGCAGACGGGAGUGCAAGUCUGGAGUGAAAGCCCGUGGCCCAAACCCGGAACUGCUCUGGAAACUGUGGGGCUAGAGUACUGGAGGGGCAUGCGGAAUGCCUGGUGUAGCGGUGAAAUGCGUAGAUAUUAGGAGGAACACCAGUUGCGAAGGCGGCCUGCUGGACAGUAACUGACGUUGAGGCACGAAAGCGUGGGGAGCGAACAGGAUUAGAUACCCCAGUAGUC
rnacentral:rRNA from 1 species